rnacentral:misc_RNA from 1 species
GAUGAAGAACGCAGCGAAAUGCGAUAAGUAAUGUGAAUUGCAGAAUUCAGUGAAUCAUCGAAUCUUUGAACGCACAUUGCGCCCCCUGGUAUUCCGGGGGGCAUGCCUGUCCGAGCGUCAUUACAACCCUCAAGCUCAGCUUGGUGUUGGGCCCCGCCGUCCCGGCGGGCCCUAAAGUCAGUGGCGGUGCCGUCCGGCUCCGAGCGUAGUAAUUCUUCUCGCUCUGGAGGUCCGGUCGUGUGCUCGCCAGCAACCCCCAAUUUUUUCAGGUUGGCCUCGGAUCAGGUAGGGAUACCCGCUGAACUUAAGCAUAUCAAUAAGCGGAGGA